ACGCUUAAACAAAGACGCAAAGCGGCAUUUUGGUCGUUUUGUGCUCCGCUUUUCACUCUUUCUUUUGUUUAUGGAAGGUAUGGGAAUGGGCAGACACCGCGGCGACUGCGUCUUCAAGCCAGGCUUGUAUGACGAAUUACUGGUAACUGGUACUGGUAGUUGUGCCGAAAACAGUUCUAACAGCGGACUAGCGAUGUCAUACCUGCCGCCUUAAAUCGGGGAUUUUAAUUGUGAACUAAAACUGUGAUAACAUAUACAUAUUGAUACAUAUUGAAUUCCUCAGCGGUGCAGGAUGUCAGCACACGGUUAUUAUCCACUAAAGCGUGCCGAAUAAGUAUGUAGAGACACUACUGUGAAGUAAUCUUCCGUUUUAGUAUUCACAACAAACUAACUCGUUUUCCGUUCCCCUUUGAGGAAUUUAGGGGGUCUUCGAACGGUAUCGGUAUUGUCUCGCAAGACAAAUAACCUAUUACAAUGAUUUCAGGAACCUUAAAAGAAAGCGAAUAAAAAUAAUUGUUUAUAGUCUGGGCGGUUCAUUGAAAUUUAUUCGGACCACGAGCCUUUGAUGUUUGCAGUUUCCGACCGUAAUCCUAACUCGAAGAUAAAAUGAUUUAAAACGUACAUAUAUAGGCGAUCAAAAGGGAAUGCUCCACUAUUACCCAGGAAGAGAAAAUAACUUCAUCAGCACAUCUACCACUUCAGAAUAUAAAUGCUCUGUGAAGUGAAGUGGCAUCCGGCGCGGCAUGAAUCCAUAACUAUAGUUAACAUAGACAUUAGUAUAUCAAGAUGCGUAACGGCCAUACAUUGGUUUUGCACUAUGCAGUCACUUAUGUGUGACACCAGAAAAAUUGCUGCGUAGAAUGAGAGUGUAUGUGUGCGUAUUUGUGCUUGAUAACGAAACCAAUUUUUAUCUAGGAAUCGAAGUUAUAUUUAGAGUUUUGGUCAAUUUCGUUGAAAAUUGAUUUUAAAAAUAUGUUUUAAAAAUUAAUGCCUUCACAAUUAUUUUUUUAAAGAAGCGUUUUUAAAUAAGAUUUGUAUUUAUGUUAAAACAUGUACAAUGACACUGACUACAAACUUCAACAGGUGACUGUGACCAUUAAAAUUAAGUUCAUCAUUAUUUCAAUUUAUAAAGUACAGUUUUGAUCUGGAAUUGUUAUUACAACUUGCAAUUUAAAACACAAAUUUUCCAAAAAAAAAAAAGAUGUAAAUUUUUUUUCAUAUAAAUUAUACAAACACACAGUUUACAGAAUAUUUAUAAAAUAUUAAAUUAUGCGAUGUUGAAUUAUGUUUAUUGAAAACUGAUUACUUGAUACACAACUCUUAUGAAUACUCCAGCUAUAAUUAAUCCAAUACAAAGUCAUUUAUAAAAUUUAUUAAGUGAUAUUAUGUACAUAGAUUCGUCUAUUACUAUUUCUUUGCAAUAUUCAAAUAACUACCAAUGUAAUGCAAUAAAAAAAAAUUUUUUCAGGGUGCCAAAUGCCUUUUUUUAUAUCAAAUCAGAUCUAGUUUACUAAGGGAAAAAAUAGUUUACUCAGUGCUCUAUUGAUGUUUAUUCCACACUACCACAAGAUCAAUCUGUCACUAUGUUAUUUUAUAAAAAAUUUCAGAAAAAUCGCAAUUAAAACUGAAUAAGUUGUCCAACCUACUGUCUGGAAAACAGCUCAAACACCUCUUUACAAAACAUUCAGAUAGCAAAAAUUUUGCGAAAACCAGAGCACCUAAAAACGAUAUAGAAAGAUUUCGUACAUAUCGAAAUCGAAAAAAAUUACAAUUUUUCUUGAGAAAUCGAUACAAAAUUUACAAAAAAGUCAGUACCAUUUACAUAGACAAACUGCACAACCACCCAAACACUCUAGCGAUCAAAUUACUGGACAACAGUCGAUGUAUAAGGAGACUUAAAAGAUAUCACCCAUCUUGAAAACUGAAUUUACCACUAUCCUCAUCCCAACCCUUCCCCCAAUACUAUACUAAAGACUCACAUUUGUAAAAAAAACUCACCAGCUAUGUUUAUAAGCAAAAAUGUAAUCAUUGCCCAAAAGGGCAGCUUUUAAAUAACGUAGACAAUAAAGAUACUAAAAAAAAUUGAUUCUGAGAAACGGAUAUAAACUUUAUGGCACUAGGGUUUAUAAUUUGGAAACAAUUUAGGUAUUCAAAAAAAGCAAUACAAAUAAAGCCUCUGUUUAGCCAAUGAGCUUUUUCAUCAGCUUUUGAAUUAAUAACACUUAUUGUUCUGAUAUUAUUCUUUGUUUAUUGUAGUUUAUUGACAUCGAAAGAGUCAAAUCAGCGCGAAAAUGAGUUUAAAACUGAGAGAGAUCAGUACAAAGUUAAGCUUUAAGAUAAGAACUUUUGCUUAGAUAAAUAAGCGAAUAAAUGAAGAAGAGGAAAACUAUGAUUGAUUUACGCUAAUCUUAACUAUUACAAAUGGACCGACAGGCACCAUAAACUAUAGUAAAAAAAUAUUAGAAUAUCCAAUACAUAAAAUCUAAUCUACUUUGGUCAAGCCUAAUAAGUAUAAGAACUUAACGUAACUUAUUCUCCUGUACUUGGAAUCUAAACGGAAACAUAACUCUUCUUAUUUUGAUGCGUACUUUUAUCUACUUUAAGUUCAACAGGUUAUGGGUUCAUUUACAACCUGUCCGAGAUAAUGCUCAUAUGUUUAGAGAGCAGAUUAUUACUGUGUGUGUGUUGAUCGUUAAACUAAAUAAACAUUUUUCUGUACGACAAAUUGGGCGAGUCUAAUUGUGACUCGUGUUGUGUGCAGAUGAAAAGUGUA